rnacentral:other from 1 species
GUGACCCUGCCCUAUUCGUGACGGGCUUAUUAAACCCACAUUUAUUAUAAGGGACGUUGAGCUCUUUACGUGAAUUGCAGGCCUCCCGGCAAGAGCCGGACGUUGGAAGCAGAGCAGCGUGGAGGAGACGACCCACCUGCGCGAAGGUGCAGGUUAAAAUAGGUUCGCACGGUAACGGCGGGGUCACA